rnacentral:tRNA from 1 species
AUUUAAAUAGUUUAUUUUUAAAACAUUGAUUUGUGGUGUCAAAAAAAUAUAUAAUAUAUUUUAAAUU